AGCUACAUAAAACCACUUGGGUUGUGGUAAUUUCUGUGGCUCUGUGACCUCUGUUUAGACUGGAAAAACUUAUGUCCACCCCUCAGCAGGUGGACAUGACAUAGAUGCUCAAGAAGACAGUGGAGGAUGAGGCUGAGGGAAGAGGGCGUGUGGAAUAGAGAGAUUCUGUGAGGUCACAAGCCCCCUCAGAGAGUGAAAUUCCAAAUUUCCAAGAGGACACUUUCACCAAAGCUCACAGGAAUAUGCUGGUGACAAGGGCCUGCUUCACUAAAAAGAUUCAGAACCCAGUGACUGAAGAUGUGUCCACAUCAAGGGAAGAAAGAGCCUAGGACACCAUGACAAUGACAUGUGGCCAUGAUUCCCUCAGUCCUUCUGCCAAGGAAUCAUCAUUAUCUCAGGAGACUUCAUGAAGAGAGAGAAACAGGCAGGAUGCUGGGGAGUGUCAGGCACUGGGAUUGAGUUGACACCAACACACACAUACCCACAGCCUCACCAUUCCUGCCCUAUAGGAUGCAGUGUUAAGAGUCUGGACUGGAUGCACAUCCCAUAGAAUAUGAAGUCAGUUCAUUUUAUCCCACAUCAUGCUGCCUGGGAUGGAUGAUCAAGAGGGGGAAAGUGCCCUGGAGCUCUUGAUGAGG